rnacentral:rRNA from 1 species
GCAAGUCGAACGAGGGCUCAGAGCUUGCUCUGAUGACCCGAGUGGCGAACGGGUGAGUAACACGUGACCAACCUGCCCAUCGGAGGGGGACAACCCGGGGAAACCUGGGCUAAUACCGCAUUACGUCAUCGCAUCGCAUGGUGCUUUGAUCAAAGGGAGCCUCUUCUUGAAAGCUCUCACCGGUGGAGGGGGUCGCGCAGUAUCAGCUAGUUGGUGGGGUAAUGGCCUACCAAGGCUACGACGCUUAACGGGUCUGAGAGGACGACC